rnacentral:ncRNA from 13 species
GAGAAUAUUGUUUAAUGGUAAAACAGUUGUCUUUUAAGCAACCCAUGCUUGGUUCAACUCCAGCUAUUCUCA